rnacentral:rRNA from 1 species
AACGAACGCUGGCGGCAUGCCUAACACAUGCAAGUCGAACGAGACCUUCGGGUCUAGUGGCGCACGGGUGCGUAACGCGUGGGAACCUGCCCUUAGGUUCGGAAUAACUCCCCGAAAGGGGUGCUAAUACCGGAUAAUGUCUUCGGACCAAAGAUUUAUCGCCUUUGGAUGGGCCCGCGUUGGAUUAGAUAGUUGGUAGGGUAAAAGCCUACCAAGGCGACGAUCCAUAGCUGGUCUGAGAGGAUGAUCAGCCACACUGGGACUGAGACACGGCCCAGACUCCUACGGGAGGCAGCAGUGGGGAAUAUUGGACAAUGGGCGAAAGCCUGAUCCAGCAAUGCCGCGUGAGUGAUGAAGGCCUUAGGGUUGUAAAGCUCUUUUAACCGGGAUGAUAAUGACAGUACCGGGAGAAUAAGCUCCGGCUAACUCCGUG